GAUGAACGCUGGCGGCGUGCCUAAUACAUGCAAGUCGAGCGAACGGACGAGAAGCUUGCUUCUCUGAUGUUAGCGGCGGACGGGUGAGUAACAUGUGGAUCACCUACCUAUAAGACUGGGAUAACUUCGGGACACCGGAGCUUAUACCGGAUAAUAUUUUGCACCGCAUGGUUCAAAAGUGAAAGUCGGUCUUGCUGUCUCUUAUAGAUGGAUCCGCGCUGCAUUAGCUAGUUGGUAAGGUAACGGCUUACCAAGGCAACCAUGCAUAGCCGACCUGAGAGGGUGGUAGGCCACCCUGGAGCUGAGACGCGGUCCUGACUCCUACGAGAGGCAGCAGUAGGGAAUCUUCCGCAAUGGGCGAAAGCCUGACGGAGCGGCGCCGCGUGAGUGAUGAAGGUCUUGCGAUCGUAAAACUCUGUUAUUGGGGGAGAACAUAUGUGUAAGUAACUGUAGCGUUCUUGACGGUACCUGAUCAAGAAGCCACGGCUAACUACGUG
rnacentral:rRNA from 1 species